rnacentral:lncRNA from 1 species
UGUAGCAAAGUAAUUUUGGAAGCAACAGCCUGGGCCAUUUGAGCAAGACAUGUCUUGUUACAGAGCGUGGGACUGUGGUUACCACCACUCGUCUGGACGUGGAGAGAGCGGGGUUUGCAAGUGUCCAGUCCUUCUCCAUUAAAGCCUGUGACCAUGAGCAGAGGUGUGCAGCAAUUCCAGUGACUGCCCGUAUUCGUGGCAUUAAUGACAACUCACCUUUCUGUGACCAGUAUCUGAUUAGGUAUACAGGCGAAGAGGUGAUUGCAGAGGGCACAGUAGUGGCAACGUUCUUAUGUCA